GGGACCUCCGCUUUCCAGGCUGCCUUUUAUACUGCCUCUGGUCACCUGACAUGGAACGUACCCUAACCUAAUCAGUUACCUGUACCUUAAUUGCAAUUAACUUAAUCCAAUUACAUGACCUGGAAAGGUCUAUCUGCACAGCCCACUCUAAGAUCAUGUCCACUGCUGACAGACAUUCUAAAACCUACUUGUACAGCUGCAAGCUUUGAACAAUAGAUGUUCCCCGUCAGACAUGUAACACUGGUGCCUGUACCCCUGUCUUCUUUUCCAUCUUUUUUGUUGUUUUGUUUUGUUUUGUUUUAAAAAAUGUGGUAAAAUAGACACCUUUUAAUUGGACCACAUUUUGUCUAUCUCGACGUAGGCCUCAGUGUCAUCAAGGAGACUCUCCUUGACAUGCAGUCACGGCCAUGAUCCAUCUUCAGAGCUUCUCUUUCUUCCCCAAGGCCUCAGUGUCAUCAAGGAGACUCUCCUUGACAUGCAGUCACGGCCAUGAUCCAUCUUCAGAGCUUCUCUUUCUUCCCCAAGGUAAGUCUGUCAGCAGAGAACCCUGACCGCACCCUCAUGUGUUUUCUCCCCCAGGAGGCGCUUGGAAACAACCGUGAAUUGGACCGCACUGGGAAACACAGAUGAGGAAAGUCAACAACGCUUUGUCCUUCAGUGCCUGGCUCCUUUUUCAGCUCCUCUUGCGACUCCAGGCAUUAUGCCUGAAAAGUCUCCCGGACGCCUGUGAGGCUCUAAUUCCCUGGGUCCCAUUGCCAUGUCUCUGGAUUUGCGAAGAUCCACCGCACCUUCUGUGGAACUCCCGUGUCGGUGAACUUUUGUGCCACGGCCCCUAAUUCUGCCCAUGGUCAUCCGCACCUGCACGACUUAGGGUCCAUGUUCCUUGGACGGGAAGAGACAGGCAGGAGUCGGAAUGAUGAACCAGCACACUGGGGCGUUUUCUCAUGUAGCCCAAGGGACCCCAAGGUCUUCUCGAGCUUUGGAACCAGUCGCGUCCCCUUUGACACUGCACCCGGCUCCCAGUCACUCAAUCUUGUUGGCCCUCCGGCGAUCUCCCGUUGGAUGAAUUGCUCCUGCUGAAACUCGAGUCCCCUUUGAUUUGCGCUUCAUUAAUUAUUCAUGAUUCAGGUUGGAAGGCCUGCUGACGACCCCCUGUGGCCGUUCUCUGAGCUUUCCUGUCACAUCGUUUCCUUCCACGCUCUUUGGUUCCUUACGGUCCUGCUCCUUCUGCUGUCAGAGGAGCAGAGAGUUGAUCUUAUUCAUUCUGGAUACGGAUACUUUCUAGUUGAUCUGGAUAAUCAAGAUAACGACCCUCAACAGCGGCGGAGAGGGAGCAGCCAGUUGGUGUGUCUCAGAAAAUCCCGCUGAGUUCCGAGGCCUCCUAGAUGUGGAAUCCUGCUGAGAGUUGUUCCCAGGUCAGAGAAUGGAGAGAGCCUGUGCAUGAUGGGAUAUCCCCGCCUAGAUCUUUCAGUGAGUCUCUGCCUCAGCUACUCUUAGGAUUAGGGGGAGAACCAUGGUGUCAGACAUCCGGAAAGAAGACGGGAUGAAUGUUUUACCUCUGAAGUACAUCCCAAAUGUGGGAGUUAACUUCAGCUUUGCUGGGGUCUAUUUGGCCAGUGAAACUCUGCCUGGUUCCUUCGCACAUCCGGAAGCCACUUCACGGGGGGCCGUCGCAACUGGAACCACACACUUGGCAUCGGCGGUUGAGCCAAAUGGGGACUCGUGGUGCAAGCAACGCUCCCCACGUGUUAGCGUGCGUGAGAUGCGGUUGGCGGAAUUUUACUAGGUGCGUGUUGGUAGAGUGGGGCUGAGGUUUUCUUGCUCCUGUGGAUGUAUAGGAAGUCAAAGGUCCUGCCCAGCCCUGCGGUCCCCUCAGUCAACUCUGUUUCGGAGACGUAACGAUUUGGAUUGCCAACAAGUCAAGAAAUGUUCAAGCCCUUGGAUGUAGGGUAAAGAAAGAGAGAUCAGACUGUCACUGUGUCUAUGUAGAAGGGGAAGACAUAAGAGACUCCAUUUUGAAAAAGACCUGUAGUUUAAACAAUUGCUUUGCUGAGAUGUUGUUCAUUUGUUGCCUUGCCGCAGCCCCUUCCUUUGACCCAACUUGGAGCUCACAAAAACCUGUGUUGUAUAAAAUCGAGGUUUAAGGGAUCUAGGGCUGUGCAGGACGUGCUUUGUUAACCAAAUGUUUGCGAGCAGUAUACUUGGUAAAAGUCAUUGCCAUUCUCUAGUUUCAAUAAACCAGGGGCACUAUGCACCGUCGAAAGCCGCAGCGACCUCUGCCCUUGAAAGCAGGUUAUUGUCCAAGGUUUCUCCCCAUGUAACAGUCUGAAAUAUGGCCCCGUGGGAUGUUAAAGACCUGACUGGCCCCCAGCCUGAGACCCGUAAAGGGUCUGUGUCGAGGUGGAUUAGUCAAAGAGGAAAGCCUCUUGCAAUUUAGAUGGAGGACAGCCGCUGUCUCCCGCAGCCCCUCUUGCCUCCCUGGCUCUUAGGACCCCCAUCGCAGGGUGUGAGGCACUCCCCCCGUUUCGGGUUGUAAGAGCCAAACCCUCUUGCCCCCCUGGCUCUUAGUUUCCCCCAUCGCAGCGGGGUGAGUCACGUCCUGCUAUGCUUGGGGUAAGAGCCAGCCCCUCUUGCCCCCCUGGCUCUCAGGACCCCCAUCGCAGUGGUGUGAGGCACGCCCCUUGAUGCGGGUAUUAAGAGCCUUCCCAUCUUACCUCCUGGCUCUUAGGACCCCCAUCGCAGGGGGUGAGGCACGCCCCGCCAUGCGGAGAGUAAGAGCUAACCCCUCUUGCCCCCCUGGUUUUUAGGAUCCGCGGUGGACUCACAGCCUGUUUAUCAUAUUGUGAGUAAUAUCGUCUCCCGCUCUGGAGAUUGUGAACUGUUUCACCCACCGGUGUUCACCCCGGCGUACAGAGGUUGUACACCCGUCUGUAUUGGGAGUCAUAUCAUCCUCUUCCUCUCUGAAUAUUAAGAACAGUAUCACAGGGGUGUUUCUACUCCCUGGGAUAUCGCGUGUCAUAUCAUCCUCUCCCACGUUGCAAUUAGAAACAAUAUCAGUGGGGGCGUGUCCACCUUCUGUGAUACUGAAAGUAAUAUCAUCCUCUUCCCUCCAGGAUCGUGGGAACAAUAUCCUUGGGGGUGUCCACUUUCUGCCAUAUGUGUAGUCAUAUCACCCCCUCCGCCUUGGAAUAUUAUUAAGAACCAUGUCACACGGGGGUGUACACUUCCUACGAUGUUGGGAGUAAUAGCAUUCUCUUCUUCCAUGAAUAUUAGGAACAAAAUCACCGGGUGGAUGCACACCCAGUGCUAUAUUGGGAGUAAUGUCAUACUCCACCCCCUGGAGAUUAUAUUCGGAUCAAUAUCACCGGCUGGGUGUGCACCUGCUGCGAUAUUGAACAUAAUAUCAUGCUCUCUCACUCCCUGAACUUUAGGAACAAUAUCACAGGUGAGUGUACACCCACUGAGGUAUUAGGGCAUACUAUUAGUAUGAAUUAUUCCUUGUUUUUUAUUAACAUGAAUAUGAAUGGCCGAUAUUAAUAUUAAUAUUAAGAAGUAAUUGCUAAUAAAAAGUUCUCAGAUUA